UAGCCCUCAUCUUAAACAACAAUACAAGUGCAGCAUUCCUCCAACUUUACCAUGGACAGAAAACACCUGUAUCCUUUUAAAAUGCAGAUUCUAACUUGAGCCUGGGCACUAUGAGAAGAUGCAGCCCCUCUCAGCCUGGAUCUCAGACAAAUAGAGCUCUCCCAACCUCUCCUCCCCCAUCCCACUCUUCACAACCUCUGAAGGACAUGAGGCCCAAUCAAGGAAUAAACUCUUGUUGCUUAAACCCA